GCGUAUUGGAAAAUUUGCGCGACUUUUAUAUUUCAGAGCACGAUCGAAUCCGUUGAGUCAGUGAAAUGUCUGUUUCUAACAUGCAAAUUGUUUGCACUUUUAGAAAACGGUUGAUGCGUCUGCAGAUGAAGAUGGCCAAAAUAAAGAGCUAGUGACUCGAGUCUGUUGCACGAAAGUAUAACGUUCUUUUAUGCCGGUUUUCCACUAGCGAAUUUCUUCGUGCGAAACGAUAUUUAUAUGGUUAAAAUUUAAAAGACUUUAUUAUAAGGUGAUAAGUAAUUUUACAUAAGUUUCAGCUGACUGAGCAGAGAGCUCAUAAGACAAAAAAAUAUACAAUAUAGUCCGUUCGUGCGUCAAAAUUCACUUUAGCUUCUAUAAUCUCUAGACUAUAUAUUAUCUUUGUCCAAAUAUCGUUGUAUUCUACCAUCAUAAAUAUCUAUAUCUUGU